AGGAAAAGAAACCAACAGGGAUUCCCCUAGUAACGGCGAGUGAAGCGGGAACAGCUCAAAUUUGAAAUCUGGCCCUUGGGUCCGAGUUGUAAUUUGCAGAGGAUGCUUUUGGUGCGGUGCCUUCCGAGUUCCCUGGAACGGGACGCCUUAGAGGGUGAGAGCCCCGUACGGUUGGCCACCAAGCCUGUGUAAAGCUCCUUCGACGAGUCGAGUAGUUUGGGAAUGCUGCUCAAAAUGGGAGGUAUAUUUCUUCUAAAGCUAAAUACUGGCCAGAGACCGAUAGCGCACAAGUAGAGUGAUCGAAAGAUGAAAAGCACUUUGAAAAGAGGGUUAAAUAGCACGUGAAAUUGUUGAAAGGGAAGGGUUUAUGACCAGACUUUUUCUAGGGGGAUCAUCCGGUGUUCUCACCGGUGCACUUCCCCUAGUUGAGGCCAGCAUCGGUUUCUGUAGGGGGAUAAAAGCUUCGGGAAUGUGGCUCCUUCGGGAGUGUUAUAGCCCGUUGCAUAAUACCCUUACGGGGACCGAGGUUCGCGCAUUGCAAGGAUGCUGGCGUAAUGGUUAUUAACCACCCGUCUUGAAACACGGACCAAGGAGUCGAACAUUUGUGCGAGUGUUUGGGUGUUAAACCCUCACGCGUAAUGAAAGUGAACGGAGGUGAGAGCCCUUCGGGGUGCAUCAUCGACCGAUCCUGAUGUCUUCGGAUGGAUUUGAGUAAGAGCAUAACUGUUCGGACCCGAAAGAUGGUGAACUAUGCGUGGAUAGGGUGAAGCCAGAGGAAACUCUGGUGGAGGCUCGCAGCGGUUCUGACGUGCAAAUCGAUCGUCAAAUCUGCGCAUGGGGGCGAAAGACUAAUCGAACCAUUGACCAGCGGUCAAAAUAAUCACUAGGUGGUUAAGAGGGGGCCCGCGAGGGCCGUUGAGAGAUCCUAGGCUGGUCUCAGUUACCCUGUAGCUACCCUGUAGCGACUUGGUGAGUUACCCUAGAGCUACCCUGUAGCGACUUGGUAGGUCACCCUGGAGCUACCCUGUAGCUACCCUGUAGCUGAGCCGGCCGACACCGCUAAAGUGCGGGGACAUCCCUUUAAAGGGCCAAAGGCUACCGCUACGCGCUGAAAAGCGUGCUAGCACCGAGAAUAGUGCUCUCGGGUAUGGUAAUAACGCCUGCGGCUGGGACGACCUGCAGCCAACCCCGCCUCAGGGGAGAGUUCACAGACUAAACAGCGGUGGGUCAGCAGCUCCGGCUGCUGGCCUAAGAUAUAGUCGACCCAGGGGCUGAAAAAGCCGCCUAAACAAAGCG
rnacentral:rRNA from 2 species